GCCCUUAUGGCGUAGUGGUAGCGCGUCGGUCUUGUAUCCUCUGAUCCAUUCAAACCGAAGGUCCCUAGUUCGAUCCUGGGUGGGGGCA
rnacentral:tRNA from 2 species